ensembl:lncRNA
GGAGGAGGUGCAGAAUCUCAUGUGCGGGCCAAAUUUCAGAUCUGGCAUAUUUCCCGAGGGGCUUUUUAUUGUUCGGUUGGACCUUCUGUUUUGAUGGACAGGCUUGGACUGAGGGCCCGCGUAACACGGAGCUACACAGCGACCUCUUCUGUGGCGCCAGACUUCGAGGGAAGUUAACGUGGGCACCGUCUUGCACCGCACACUGGAGGAUUAGCGCAGUGAAAAGGCAGCUGAGGUGCUUGUCUGUCAGCAGAUGAGGCUAAAUUGUUGAGCCCGGCUUCCUGUUCCAACCAAUAAGGAGAAAAAAGAAGCCCUGGAGGAAUGAGAGACAUGUCACAACAACAGCUGAACCUUGCCUUCACUUAUUAAAUGUAAUGUGCACUGUAGCUGCUUGCUAUGAGCCAAGGGAGCA